UACAGUAGGGGUUAGGGAAACAAAGGAAUAUGUUGAAAUAUGCAAUGCAUACUUGGAACAUUCUAAAAGAUUGUGAAAAUCUUAAGAGACUAACUGGAUAAGAUUAUGGUAAGGUAAGAAAGUUCUAAAAAAUUGGAGAGAAUACAUGAGCUAUAGUUGCCAUGCUUCAUGGUGAAGUGUAGAAUACUUUAAAACUAGAUAUUUUAGUAUGGUAGAAAUAUAAGAAAUUGGAUAAGGAUGAGGAGAAUUCUAGAGUUAGGAUAUUUUGUAUGGAAGAGUGUGGAAGUUGUUACAUGGCAACACCAUAAUGAUCAUGAGCACCUAUAAAUAGAUGUGCUCCCUUCCCUCCUAGCAUACUAUGGCAUAGAGUGGCAUGUGAGCCAUAGGUGAAGAGAUAGCAAGGUUGCCAUGUAGUGUAGUGGUGUCAUGGUAGUGUAGCCACAUAAAGAGUGUAAGAGUGAGUGUUGUAUAAAGUUGUGAGUAGGUGAAUAAAAAAUUUGAGUUCGCUUGUAGAGAUUUGAUCUCCCGUGUUGGUGUCGGUGUGAAGGUCUCCUCAGAGUAGUCUGGGUAUAAGAUCCACAGAAGAAGUGGUCUCAGACCACCUUGGUACCACUUCUAGGGAGUCGGUGUCAAGGUUUGGACGCCGAUUUCUCAAUAAUUGGUAUCAAAGCCAAGUUGGUCAGGGACCGUUAUUGGAAGGAGUUUUGUGGUGAGUGCGGAGCACUCAUAGUGGUCGGUGCAGUUGUUGGUAGGUGCAGGGUGCUUACAUUGCUCGGUGUGGCACUGGGAGGCGCUAAGGGGAGACUCUGCCGGAGAUCACAAUUCGAGACUGUGAAGAAAUGCUGAUCCGGGACCAAGCGUAGGUGAUGCUGGGUGUCAG
rnacentral:lncRNA from 1 species